GGGUCAGAGGAAGAUCCUGGGGCUUCUCCACCAUGGCCUGGACCCCUCUCCUGCUCCCCCUCCUCACUCUCUGCACAGGUUCCGUAGCCUCUUCUAAAGUGAAUCAGCCGUCAGCAGUGUCUGUGACCUUGGGACAGGCAGCCAAGAUCACCUGCCAGGGAGAGUUGCCCAAGAGCUAUCAUGUUAGCUGGUACCAGCAGAAGACAGGCCAUGCCCCUAUGCUGUUCAUCUAUUCUGACAGGAACCGGACUUCAGUGUUCCCUGAUCGAUUCUCUAGUUUUUACUCAGGGGACAUGGACACCUUGACCAUCAUAAGGGCCCAAGCUGAGGAUGAGGCUGACUAUUACUGUUACACAUCUGAUGGCAGUAAUACUCACAGUGACACAGGCACACAGGGAAGUGAGACAAAAACCCCUUCCUCAUCUGUGCACACUCUCCUCCUGCCCAAGUGCAAACCACAGACAAAGCCAUGAGCUGGUCUGACUCAGGCCCCAGGUCUGAGAUCCCCAGGCUGCCCCCUCAUCCCCACCCUCAGCCAGCUCUGCAGAGGGCGGGACAGCAGUGCAUUCAGGGCUGGCAGGACCAGGAUGUGCUGGGGAUUUCAAGGCCAAGAUGUGAGUAGGGACACAGGGCCUGAAAGGAAGGACACAGAGGGAGACAUCCACGCAGCGGUGAAGGACACUGCAUGUCCAUGUGAUGGAGGCUGUGUCACUCACGGGCCCACGGCUCUGAAUCAGUCCCCAGAACUGUCCUCCUGCUCUGAGCUCCUGAGGCCGCGGGAUCUGACGGCUGCCUGGGAUUCUGAAACAGAUGUGAAGGGUGGGGUGGGGAGAGUAGAAAGGAAAAACGUUUGAACAAAUAUGGGCCAAAAAUGUUCUCAUUUUGGUGAGCAUUAGGAACCCACAGAUCCAAGAAACACGACACACCCCAGCACCUAAAACAUAAAGAAAGCAGCUCCAACACACUUCACAACCAAACUCCUCAAACCCAUGUAGAGGAGACCAUCAACUGCACCUCCCACCUUCCUGCAAACCUUAUGUGACCUCUCAGAGCAGGGCUGCACGUGCAGCCCAGGGGUCACACCCUCUCAGGUGACAAGCACUCUGGGUGACCUGCAAGAGGGAAACUCCAAGUCUGCAUUCUCCCACCAGCAGGAGGCAGCAGAGCUGCAUCCAGGAGCAGCCUGGGCAGAAGCUGGGGCUGCCCAGCUGGAACCUCAGAGGGAGACCAGCCCUGGGGUCAGCAGUUCCAAGGCCCAGUGCAGAUGCUGGACUUCAGGAAGUUCCAUCUGUUCCCUGCGACCCAAUGAGCACAUUGUGACAGUCAGACUCACACAGUGUCACUGCUGGACCCUGACAGGAACACGUGAGUGCUUCACCUGAAAUGCAGGUCACCUCACUGUUGGCAGGGAUCCUGGGGCUGACCCCCUGUCUGGGUAGGAAAAGACACCCUGAUUUGCCACACCCUGCCUCUUGUUCCCACCGCUGGGUGCUCUCUGACCCUGGGGCUGCAGCUGCUCUGCUCAGGGCCAUCUAGGGGAAGAGGGCAGAGUCGGAACCUCUGGUCCCUGCCUGGAGCAGCACAGACACUUCAGGAGACUCUCCAAGGGAAGGGGAUUCUCCCUGCUUGGGUCCAGGACUGGUCACCAGGCUGUCCUUGGUCAGGAACAAGUUUGGCCUCUGCCACGCCCUCUUCCAACCAUGUUUUUUGACAAGGUCUGAACAUGGAAA